rnacentral:rRNA from 1 species
UACGGAGGGUGCGAGCGUUGUCCGGAAUCAUUGGGCGUAAAGGGCGCGUAGGUGGCCCGGUCAGUCAGUGGUGAAAGCGCGGGGCUCAACUCCGCGUCGGCCAUUGAUACUGCUGGGCUUGAGCACUGUAGAGGCAGGCGGAAUUCCGGGUGUAGCGGUGGAAUGCGUAGAGAUCCGGAAGAACACCGGUGGCGAAGGCGGCCUGAC